rnacentral:rRNA from 1 species
GACGAACGCUGGCGGCGUGCUUAACACAUGCAAGUCGAACGGAAAGGCCCUGCUUUUGUGGGGUGCUCGCGUGGCGAACGGGUGAGUAACCCGUGAGUAUCCUGGCCUUGACUUUGGGAUGACUUCAGGAAAGUGGUGCUACUACCUGCUAGGAGCUCCUGCUGCAUGGUGGGGGUUGGACAGUUUCGGCGGUGGUGGAUGGACUCGCGGCUUAUCAGCUUGUUGGUGGGGUAUUGGCCUACCAAGGCUUUGAUGGGUAGCCGGCCUGGGAGGGGGACCAGGGACAUUGGGACUACGGGACGCCCCAGUGGCGAACGGUAGGCAGCAGGGGGGAAUAUUGCACAAUGGGGGGAAGCCUGAGGAAGCAACGCCGCGUGCGGGAUGACCGCCUUCGGGUUGGAAACCGCAUUCGCCUGUGACGAAGCGUGAGUGACGGUAAUGGGUAAAGAAGCACCGGCUAACUACGUG